rnacentral:lncRNA from 1 species
AAAAAUAUUCAAUUUUCCCAAUAUUUUUUCAAUUUCAUUCCAAAUUUUCCUUUUAUCGUACAAUUCCUUCCAGCUUCCAAUUUUUUUCUCGAGACUAGAAUCGUAUAAGUAGAAUGGCGUCGCUUCGGUCUCCAAUGAUCCGUGUUACGCAACACCGUCUGUUCGGGUGAAAAAUCUUUGCCAAGAACAAAGGGGAACAUCGACUUGUUCCCGUUUUCUUUCGUUGCUCUUGCGCCAAUCUGUAUCGAGCAGAUUCUCAUUCGGUUAUUUAGACGUCGAAUAGCUAUACAAGUUCGCGGAAGUUUUGCUCCAUGACGCGAAGAAUAUCGCGACUGACCAACCCGCGGCGUUCGUACUUUUGCCGCGCAUGAUUCUCCGCUUCCAGGACAUUAAAUACGACGAAACGAACCGCUGAGUCAGAGUGAAUCACCGAUUCUGAGCCUGGUGGUCGCGAGGGGGAUGAUACGAAGGCAUUCCACGCGCGGAAUUAACAGAUUUGUAUAGCC